rnacentral:tRNA from 1 species
CCAGCCCUGGCUCAGAUGGUAAAGCGUCUGCCUGCAAUGCAGGAGACCUGGGUUCGAUCCCUGGAUUGGG